rnacentral:rRNA from 1 species
UGGGGAAUAUUGCGCAAUGGGGGCAACCCUGACGCAGCCAUGCCGCGUGUGUGAAGAAGGCCUUCGGGUUGUAAAGCACUUUCACUUGGGAAGAAACGCUGUCGGUUAAUACCCGGCAGAAUUGACAUUACCUUGAGAAGAAGCACCGGCUAACUCCGUGCCAGCAGCCGCGGUAAUACGGAGGGUGCGAGCGUUAAUCGGAAUUACUGGGCGUAAAGCGCGCGUAGGCGGUUUGUUAAGUCGGAUGUGAAAGCCCCGGGCUCAACCUGGGAAUUGCACCCGAUACUGGCCGACUGGAGUGCGAGAGAGGGAGGUAGAAUUCCACGUGUAGCGGUGAAAUGCGUAGAUAUGUGGAGGAAUACCGGUGGCGAAGGCGGCCUCCUGGCUCGACACUGACGCUGAGGUGCGAAAGCGUGGGGAGCAAACA